CGGAGAGGGCCCGCCGCCUCUGUUAGACUUGCGGGGACCUCCGGGCAACCCAGUCGACGCCGUGCGAUUCUGGCCUACCUAGCUUGGUUGGGACACCAGCCCCUGAGUGGAAGUGAACUUGGAGCCGGGCCGCAGUCGGAGCCACGUGCGAGCCACGCCCACUUCCCAGCCAGGACACCUUGGUGCAAGAAAGGUCUGCGACUUGACCCUUUACGCAGCCAGCACCCUCCGGACUCAGUUCCGCUGGUUCGAGCUCAUCUUUCCUCAGGCAGGGCCCAGAGCACACGUUCUGGCCCGGAUGCCUGCGGGGUUUAGCAAUCUGACCCCUCCGGCCUUCAGGGUUCGGCAAUUUUAGGCUCACAACAAAACAGGAGAUACAGAACUCCCCAGAGACAUGCACAGCCUUUCCUACUGUCAACAUCCAGUGACAGAGUGAUGUGUCUGCAACAGUUGAUGAAUCUAUACCGAAGCAUUGUCACCCGAAGUCCACACUCAUCCUGACGGCUGCACUUUCCAUGGUCUCAGCAGACAGACUUGCACCAGCUCUGUGUAGCACACAGAGUAUCUGGCCUGUCCUAAACAGUCUCCAUGCUUGGUCUAUCCAUUCCUCCAUCCCUCAGAAAUUUUUACUUUAUUAAUUAAAACAUUUGGGCUGUUGUUUGUUAUGAGAACAAGUCUUUCUAUGUAGCCCGAGAAGGAGUGGAACUCACUAUGUAGACCAGGCUGGGCCUCAAGCCUGUGGCAAUCCACUCACCUCUGCCUCCUAAGUCAUUUUGUUUUAUUUAAAACAAAACACAACGAAGGCUGUUUGGGGGGAUGAAGAUGUGGCUAAAUUGGCAAAGUGCUUGCAGUGGGCUCAAGGCCUUGGAUCCUAACCUCAGUGUGCCAUAAAUGGAACACAGUAGUUAAAUCCUGCAAUCCCAGCACUCGGGAGGUAGAAACAGAAGGACCAGAAGUUCAAGUCAUCCUCCACUACAUUCUAAGUUGGAGGCAAAGCCAAAAGGCCUAAGACCCUAUCUCAAAUGAAACAAUAAAAAUUUGCUUUUGAGAUGUAGUUGUACUUUGCA